CCUACGGGUGGCAGCAGUGAGGAAUAUUGGUCAAUGGACGAGAGUCUGAACCAGCCAAGUAGCGUGAAGGAUGACUGCCCUAUGGGUUGUAAACUUCUUUUAUAAGGGAAUAAAACGAGGCACGUGUGCCUUUUUGCAUGUACUUUAUGAAUAAGGAUCGGCUAACUCCGUGCCAGCAGCCGCGGUAAUACGGAGGAUCCGAGCGUUAUCCGGAUUUAUUGGGUUUAAAGGGAGCGUAGAUGGGUUGUUAAGUCAGUUGUUAAAGUUUGGGGCUCAACCGUAAAAGUGCAAUUGAUACUGGCAGUCUUGAGUACAGGUGAGGUAGGCGGAAUGCGUGGUGUAGCGGUGAAAUGCUUAGAUAUCACGAAGAACCCCGAUUGCGAAGGCAGCUUACUAAAGUGUGACUGACAUUGAUGCUCGAAAGUGUGGGGAUCAAACAGGAUUAGAUACCCUUGUAGUC
rnacentral:rRNA from 1 species